CGAAGAACCUUACCAAGGCUUGACAUACACGAGAACGGGCCAGAAAUGGUCAACUCUUUUGGACACUCGUGAACAGGUGGUGCAUGGUUGUCGUCAGCUCGUGUCGUGAGAUGUUGGGUUAAGUCCCGCAACGAGCGCAACCCUCGUUCUAUGUUGCCAGCACGUUAUGGUGGGAACUCAUGGGAUACUGCCGGGGUCAACUCGGAGGAAGGUGGGGAUGACGUCAAAUCAUCAUGCCCCUUAUGUCUUGGGCUUCACGCAUGCUACAAUGGCCGGUACAAAGGGCUGCGAUACCGUAAGGUGGAGCGAAUCCCAAAAAGCCGGUCCCAGUUCGGAUUGAGGUCUGCAACUCGACCUCAUGAAGUCGGAGUCGCUAGUAAUCGUGGAUCAGCAACGCCACGGUGAAUACGUUCCCGGGUCUUGUACACACCGCCCGUCAAGUCAUGAAAGUCGGUAACACCUGAAGCCGGUGGCCUAACCCUUGUGGAGGGAGCCGUCGAAGGUGGGAUCGGUAAUUAGGACUAAGUCGUAACAAGGUAAGCGUAGUGCU
rnacentral:rRNA from 1 species